rnacentral:lncRNA from 1 species
CCAAGAUGCCAAAAUGAACCUAUGAAAAUUAACUUCCUAGAGUUUUACAAGAUGAGAUACAAAUCAGGCCACUGAGUCAUUUGAUUCUUAGCUCAACUUGCAUUGGGGAGCCAAUGGAACAAAAUAAAGAAAGAAACAACUCUACUUUCUUGAAGAUAAGAAGGCCACCACGUCCAUUUUGGACAGAUCUAGCCAUUCAUCUUUUCUAUAUGUCAUAGAGCUAACUGGACCGGUGCACCUUUUGGUUAUCAGGAAUCUGAAAGAUAAUAAUGGAGAGAUAGGACUGAACCUUAGCUUUUUUGAAGAUAUUGAACCAACAGUUUAAAAAAGAGGAAAUAAUUCACAAAGCGUAAACAGUUUUUUCGUGCUCCUGAUGAAACAACAUUAAUAUGCAACUUACUUCCCGACCAUAAACUAUACUCAAAAGGGGUGACAGAGACGAUUGUUGAUGUUCAGGUUUCUUUACUAGUACAUUAUUGUGCUCCCAAGCGUUGCAUAAAAGAGUUAUUAGUGUCUUCAGUUUUGUCCUGUAAACAGUCGAUGUAAAAAUUCCUCCACUAAUUAUACAAUUUAAUGUCAAAAGGAAUCAAGUUUCAUCAUACGGUGAGACUACACCAACUUGUAAUCACUAUCUAUAAUUAUAUAUUGUCUCACUUCCCCAUUUCCUACAAUGAAGCAAUAUUUAAAUACUGAACUUCUCAUAGACUGAGUAGAGGUUAACUAGUAAAGAAUUGGCGAACAAUAAUUAACUCAAGGGGGNNN